rnacentral:rRNA from 1 species
CAGUCGCCGCGGUAAUACGAAGGGGGCUAGCGUUGUUCGGAAUUACUGGGCGUAAAGCGCACGUAGGCGGACAUUUAAGUCAGGGGUGAAAUCCCGGGGCUCAACCCCGGAACUGCCUUUGAUACUGGGUGUCUAGAGUAUGGAAGAGGUGAGUGGAAUUCCGAGUGUAGAGGUGAAAUUCGUAGAUAUUCGGAGGAACACCAGUGGCGAAGGCGGCUCACUGGUCCAUUACUGACGCUGAGGUGCGAAAGCGUGGGGAGCAAACAGGAUUAGAUACCCGCGUAGUCCCUGUCUCUUAUAA